GCCUCUCACAUGCAAUAUCCCAAACAGCCCACACACACUACCAAACACACAAUGUGACAUAUCCAUCCACACACAAUUCCACAAGCAGCCCUCAUACACAGCCCACAUUCAUGUGUAUACAAUAUAAUAGUUCAUAUACGCACAAAUACAAUGAUACAAAGCAAUUACAAUAAAAAUAACAACAAACAGAAUUCGGCAACAUACACACCUGGCACGCUACGGGACAUC